rnacentral:rRNA from 1 species
GAUUCUGGCUCAGGAUGAACGCUAGCUACAGGCUUAACACAUGCAAGUCGAGGGGCAGCAUUGGAGUAGCAAUACUUCAGAUGGCGACCGGCGCACGGGUGAGUAACACGUAUCCAACCUGCCGCUUACUCGGGGAUAGCCUUUCGAAAGAAAGAUUAAUACCCGAUGGUAUAAAGAGUUCGCAUGUUCUCUUUAUUAAAGAAUUUCGGUAAGCGAUGGGGAUGCGUUCCAUUAGAUAGUUGGCGGGGUAACGGCCCACCAAGUCUACGAUGGAUAGGGGUUCUGAGAGGAAGGUCCCCCACAUUGGAACUGAGACACGGUCCAAACUCCUACGGGAGGCAGCAGUGAGGAAUAUUGGUCAAUGGACGAGAGUCUGAACCAGCCAAAAGUAGCGUGAAGGAUGACUGCCCUAUGGGUUGUAAACUUCUUUUAUAAGGGAAUAAAGUGAGGGACGUGUCCCUUUUUGUAUGUACCUUAUGAAUAAGGAUCGGCUAACUCCGUGCCAGCCGCCGC